rnacentral:rRNA from 1 species
GACGAGGGGUCCAAGCGUUGUUCGGAAUCAUUGGGCGUAAAGCGGGUGUAGGUGGAUUUAUAAGUCAGGAGUGAAAGCCCCGAGCUUAACUUGGGAAGUGCUUUUGAUACUGUAAAUCUUGAAUGUGGGAGAGGAUCGUGGAAUUCCGGGUGUAGCGGUGGAAUGCGUAGAGAUCCGGAAGAACACCGGUGGCGAAGGCGGCCUGCUGGGCAGUGGCUGACGCUGAGGCGCGACAGCGUGGGGAGCAAACAGG